GGCCUUAUGGUCUAGUGGUAAUACAUUGUGCUUUUCUGUAUGCACUGUCAUAAUGUUCCUGGUUCAAAUCCGGUUGAGGGCA